UUUCUUACGCGUGGCUCACUGAGCUAAAACCUUGAGGUACAAGUGAAACUCAUUCCCAAAAGCCCAGUCCCAGAGAGGGAAAUCUGGCGGAUCCCUCUUCUCCAGAAUGUGCUCAGUUCCCUAUGGCCUCUGUAGCAGCGGUAAGAAAGGUUUCAACAGUCACAGCUCAAAAGCCUGUGAGGAGCUCCUGGAAGACAUUGUCUGAAGAUGGGAGGGAGAAUUUGGACAACAUUCAAGGAAGAGCCACAGAAGUGACUGAACUGGGCUGGGCCAUGAGAAUGAAAGACUUCUACAAAAAAGUUAAAUGAAUUAGGUUUAUUGAACUUGGAGUAAGACACCCUUGUAAGGGCAAUAAUAAACAAAAAUAGAAAAAGGUUUAAGUUACAACACACAAGAAUAAAAUUAGAUGUAAAGAAGACUUUCCUCAGUUUUAAGGUGGAUAAGUGGGUUGUUAAAUUACAACAGAUUUCUCUACGAGGGUUUGUUGUACUCCAGGCUUGCUGGGAGGCAGACCUGGAUAACCUCUGAGUAUAUCUGUCCCCACCUGGCACUGCUGAGACUACUUCAGAGUACUUAUUUAGGUCCAUGAUUGAAAAUUAAGAGGCAGCCAGUGCUUCCAUUGUUAUAAAGGCCACAAGAUUUGGUUAUCUUUUAUAAAGAGAAAUGGAAACAUACAACAGAGCUCUUCCUCAAGUCCUGCACUGGGAACAUUAGCACACAGCAGGACCUUUUCCUAUGUAGACACAGUGCAGAUUUGAUCUGUGGUGCAGCCAAACUAAAACACAGGUCAUGGAUUGUUUCCCCACUUUUGGUACGAACAAGCCCUUAAUCAAGUAUCUAAUCUAGGGACGGUAACAUUGGCUAUUUGAGUGCAGGCACCCUAGGUUGUUAAUGUCUGUUUCCCAACACUAUUCCAUUCCAACAUUUUUCUUUACCUAAAGUGGGAUAAUGAUCAUUAAAAAAGAACACAGUAAUUUUCCUUACAACACUGCUGAUAACUAAUAAUCACACAGUUGCAUGUAAGUUAAUUCUUUAAAUUUAAUCAGUCAUUUAUAAAACUCCCCAAUUAGUAAAAGUUGGCUUAUUUUAAUAGCCUUAAACAUUGGCCGCUAUUUAAACAAGACAUUCUAAAAAAAAAAAAAAAAAAAAAAAA